CCUUCUGUUGCAUUUAUGAUUUAGCAGGUAUGAUUUUAUUUUCCUGAUAAACAUUGUAUUCAUGAUCAGUUGGAAAAACGUUACUGGCAGAGAACUUCGUUUUUGUAAAUUGUUUCUGUAACAACAGCUCAUCUAUUUGAAUUAAUGCAACAUCAUGUAUUAAUAUUCAUUUCUAUGUGUUUGUGUUCAUACAUCCAAGUCUUUUGAUUCUUUCAAAGAAAAUAACAAAAUCAGAAAAGUACAUUUUCAUGCAUUAGUUUCGAACAGUUUUGACAAAAUUUAAUUGUUCAUGUGAUUUGUGAUAUUGAUCGUUCGAUUUUAUGUAACUUUGUGACGCUGGAACCGCGUUACAAAAAAUACAAGACAUUUGUGUAUUUUUUUACGUGCGUUUUCACGUUCCGGUGAGGAUCUGUAAAUAUAGUGUUACUGUCGUAAUAUUUUGUGAAGAUCGUUUUUUUCGAAGAAUGUGUUCCACGGAAGAAGACAGGGACAAAAUACGAUUUCGAAGAAGAUGAACUUCUCAUACUACAAAGAAUAUUGUACGCGAUCUGAAACACGCUAAAAAUAUCACACUUCCAUCCCAAUCUAUUUUGAAACGCGAAGGGAUGCGCGUUCUCGGCUUUGAUAUUGUUUUUUUAUCCUUUUCAAUGUUUUUAACGCAACGCCCACGGGUGUGUUACGUUUCAAGAAAUUUCAAACACUUCUGCUUUACGCCGAUAUUUUGUUGAUUUUAUUUGUUGGAAUGCUCUUUAAUGCUCGUUCAAUCUGUGUGAACGGUUUCAGAUUGCCACAUCAAGUCGGGUAUGUCAUAGUCUGGGCCCUACGUGGAAGAUGAAUAUGGCACAGACUAUGAAACACCUGUUUUAUAAAAGUAUUAUAUUCAAGGAACUCUCAUAUAUUUUGGUAUAUGAGUCUUCGUUAGUGAUAUUUGUCUGUGAUAUAGUUUGCCAAAUAUGUAAAACAGUGAUAUCUAGAAAUUUGUAAAUGAGAAAAUCUCAUAUGUUCUAUAAAUUAUCAGAGACUGUAUUAUUGGCACUCUUAACUAAGGAGUAUCUUAUUAAUAUUUUUAUUAAUAUUGUAACUUAUUAAUAUUUUAUAACUUUCAUGAUUUAUAAGCAAUAACAAGUGAUACUUGAAAAUAUGUUCUAAUUAUGUAAUUAAAACAUACAAUGGGAACAUGAAUAAUAAAGCGUUCUUGGAAACGCUUGUAAUUAUUA